AAGUCAGCUAGGAGAGAAGAAACUGAAAUGCUUCAUAGGUGGUGCUGAGACGAGUAAAGGUUUCUUGUGAUAUUGGUCUCUACGUACAGUGGGUGGAAAAAGAUAACUGAUGAGGAAAAUAUCUGAUAUUUAAUCUCAGCUUUCAUCAUUGCAUAUUACCUUCCCGUCUAAAAAUGAGUGGCAGAAACUGAAGGAAGGAGGUUUUCUGCAGAGGAUUGGAAUGCAGUACUACUGGAAAAAUCGUAACUAUAAGAAUUUUGAUGAGUUUUUGAUGGACAUGAAACAAAGUAAGAGAAAAAAUAUUCGUCAGGAACGCAAAAAGGUU